rnacentral:rRNA from 1 species
GACGAACGCUGGCGGCGUGCCUAACACAUGCAAGUCGAACGGAAAGGCCCUGCUUUGGUGGGGUGCUGGAGUGGCGAACGGGUGAGUAACACGUGAGUAACCUGCCCUUCACUUUGGGAUAUCUUCAGGAAAGUGGGUCUAAUACCGGAUAGGAUCUCUCGCUGCUGGGUGGGGGUUGGAAAGUUUCGGCGGUUGGGGAUGGACUGGCGGCUUAUCAGCUUGCUGGGUGGGUAGUGGCUGACCAAGGCAUUGACCGAUAGCCGACCUGGGCGGGUGACCGGCCACAUUGGGACUGAGCUACGACACAGCCUCCAAUGGGAGGCAACGGUGGGGAAUAUUGUACAAUGGGAUGGAGCAUGAUGCGACACCGCCACGUGCGGGAUGACGUCCUUCGGGUUGUGAACCGCAUUCGCCUGUGACGAAGCGUGAGUGACGGUAAUGGGUAAAGAAGCACCGGCUAACUACGUG